CCCAAGCUAGUAAGUACUGAGGGCUUCAUCUAUCUAGAAGGAGUCAUUUCCAUCUGAAUGUGGCAGCGACGGGACACAGCAGCAGAGCGAGUCCACAUCCAGAAGGCUGGAGCCGUGUUUCACUGACAGGCUGUCAGACUAAAGCCCUGAUGAGCUCAGCUGGGACAAACUGGUCUGAUGUUUAGGAACACAGAACGUUCAGAUGUUGGAGCUUCACGUCACCUACUGAGGAAGGAGACCCACCAGUAAAGAGAUGGUAGCUGGACCAGACCAAAAAUAUGGCGAUGACAUCAUGGAACUGGUCUUUGGAAAAGUUUUCCCUGAACCAACUCCGUUUCUAGAUGAGGUAGAGAACAUCUGCAUCUCACCAACCCUCUGGUCUCAGUAUUCAGACAACGGAGGUCUCCCACUGUUAUCCAGGACCAGUUUGAAGCCCACAUACUGCCCCACCCUCAUCAUCAGGAAACAUCAAUCCGUAUCCUGAGGACAACAGAAGACGGCAGGAGGACAGGAACUCUGAGACCUGGAUACCACCAGCACCGAGACACAAAGCACCUGUGUGCACAACGCCUGUUUAACUACUAAAGCCUGUUUAUUAUAUAGUUCUACUUAUUUGCUGUGAGGUUAAUACUUAGAAAUAUUUUAUAUUAAUGUAAACAAUUAAAAAAAUCACUGAUUGUAUGUUUUCUUUUAGAUGUAAUGGUCCAAACUCAGCCUUGUAGACAUUUAUUGCAUCCUGUAGGUAAAUACACAGAACAGGCUCAGGUCCAGGAUGACCCAGCAUGCUCUUCUUCCAUUCUGGCUGUUAGGGAUUGUAUCAAUAACUCAAUGCCUACUGAUGUUUUCACCUAACGGUAUUUAUUUAGAAUGCAGGUCAGACUUAACUAUAUUUGUUAGCAAAGUAGACUGAUCUUGGGAAUUUCA